UACGUAGGGGGCAAGCGUUGUCCGGAAUCAUUGGGCGUAAAGGGCGCGUAGGCGGUCCGGUAAGUCCGCUCUGAAAGUCCGGGGCUCAACCCCGGGAGGCGGGCGGAUACUGUCGGGCUAGAGUCCGGAAGAGGCGAGUGGAAUUCCUGGUGUAGCGGUGGAAUGCGCAGAUAUCAGGAGGAACACCGAUGGCGAAGGCAGCUCGCUGGGACGGUACUGACGCUGAGGCGCGAAAGCGUGGGGAGCGAACAGG
rnacentral:rRNA from 1 species